GAUGAACGCUGGCGGCGUGCCUAAUACAUGCAAGUCGAGCGAACAGACGAGGAGCUUGCUCCUCUGACGUUAGCGGCGGACGGGUGAGUAACACGUGGAUAACCUACCUAUAAGACUGGGAUAACUUCGGGAAACCGGAGCUAAUACCGGAUAAUAUAUUGAACCGCAUGGUUCAAUAGUGAAAGACGGUUUUGCUGUCACUUAUAGAUGGAUCCGCGCCGCAUUAGCUAGUUGGUAAGGUAACGGCUUACCAAGGCAACGAUGCGUAGCCGACCUGAGAGGGUGAUCGGCCACACUGGAGCUGGGACACGGUCCAGACUCCUACGGGAGGCAGCAGUAGGGAAUCUUCCGCAAUGGGCGAAAGCCAGACGGAGCAACGCCGCGUGAGUGAUGAAGGUCUUCGGAUCGUAAAACUCUGUUAUUAGGGAAGAACAAAUGUGUAAGUAACUAUGCACGUCUUGACGGUACCUAAUCAGAAAGCCACGGCUAACUACGUG
rnacentral:rRNA from 1 species